rnacentral:lncRNA from 1 species
GGAAACUAAGAAAAAAUUCAAACUUGAGCCACAUGAUGAUCAGGUUUUUCUGGAUGGAAAUGAGGUGUAUGUAUGGAUCUAUGACCCAGUUCACUUUAAAACAUUUGUCAUGGGAUUAAUUCUUGUGAUUGCAGUAAUAGCGGCCACCCUCUUCCCCCUUUGGCCAGCAGAAAUGAGAGUAGGUGUUUAUUACCUCAGUGUGGGUGCAGGCUGUUUUGUAGCCAGUAUUCUUCUCCUUGCUGUUGCUCGAUGCAUUCUAUUUCUCAUCAUUUGGCUCAUAACUGGAGGAAGGCACCACUUUUGGUUCUUGCCAAAUCUGACUGCUGAUGUGGGCUUCAUUGACUCCUUCAGGCCUCUGUACACACAUGAAUACAAAGGACCAAAAGCAGACUUAAAGAAAGAUGAGAAGUCUGAAACCAAAAAGCAACAGAAGUCCGACAGUGAGGAAAAGUCAGACAGUG